CCACUUUGUGAUUCAUGACUGGGGUGAAGUCGUAACAAGGUAGCCGUAGGGGAACCUGCGGCUGGAUCACCUCCUUU
rnacentral:rRNA from 1 species